rnacentral:rRNA from 1 species
AUUGAACGCUGGCGGCAGGCCUAACACAUGCAAGUCGAGCGGAUGAAGGGAGCUUGCUCCUGGAUUCAGCGGCGGACGGGUGAGUAAUGCCUAGGAAUCUGCCUGGUAGUGGGGGAUAACGUCCGGACACGGGCGCUAAUACCGCAUACGUCCUGAGGGAGAAAGUGGGGGAUCUUCGGACCUCCCGCUAUCAGAUGAGCCUAGGUCGGAUUAGCUAGUUGGUGGGGUAAAGGCCUCCCAAGGCGACGAUCCGUAACUGGUCUGAGAGGAUGAUCAGUCACACUGGAACUGAGAAACGGUCCAGGCUCCUACGGGAGGCAGCAGUGGGGAAUAUUGGACAAGGGGCGAAAGCCUGAUCCAGCCAUGCCGCGUGUGUGAAGAAGGUCUUCGGAUUGUAAAGCACUUUAAGUUGGGAGGAAGGGCAGUAAGUUAAUACCUUGCUGUUUUGACGUUACCAACAGAAUAAGCACCGGCUAACUUCGUG